rfam:Triticum aestivum genome assembly, contig: Triticum_aestivum_CS42_TGACv1_scaffold_291858_4AL
AUCGUACUCCCUCCGUCCGAAAAUACUUGUCAUCAAAAUGGGUAAAAAGAGAUGUAUCUAAAACUAAAAUACGUGUAGAUACACCCCCUUUUAUCCACUUUGAUGACAAGUAUUUCCGGACAGAGGGAGUACAUG